rnacentral:rRNA from 1 species
GAUGAACGCUGGCGGCGUGCCUAAUACAUGCAAGUCGAGCGAACAGACGAGGAGCUUGCUCCUCUGACGUUAGCGGCGGAAGGGUGAGUAACACGUGGAUAACCUACCUAUAAGACUGGGAUAACUUCGGGAAACCGGAGCUAAUACCGGAUAAUAUAUUUAACCGAAUUGUUCAAUAGUGAAAGACGGUUUUGCUGUCACUUAUAGAUGGAUCCGCGCCGCAUUAGCUAGUUGGUAAGGUAACGGCUUACCAAGGCGACGAUGCGUAGCCGACCUGAGAGGGUGAUCGGCCAAACUGGAAAUGAAACACGGUCCAGACUCCUACGGGAGGCAGCAGUAGGGAAUCUUCCGCAAUGGGCGAAAGCAUGACGGAGCAACGCCGCGUGAGUGAUGAAGGUCUUCGGAUCGUAAAACUCUGUUAUUAGGGAAGAACAAAUGUGUAAGUAACUAUGCACGUCUUGACGGUACCUAAUCAGAAAGCCACGGCUAACUAAGUG